UCCGUAGUGAACCUGCGGAAGGAUCAUUA
rnacentral:rRNA from 7 species